UUACUAUUGAAAUGUUUUAUAAACUGUUUUACUAUCCAAACUUACUUAUAGACUGUGAUUCAAUCAAAUGCUUCUUAUAUAUUUAAACUGUUUUAUCAACUUAUGCCUUCGAAAUGUUUUAUAGAUCGACAUCAAGUCGAUCUUCUCUUGAAAUUAUAUUAACUGCUUCAAAUGUUUUAUGAAAACUUAUUUAUGCUUUUAUAUAUCCAAUUGCAUGCCCGUAUAUGUAUAGGUAUAUAAAUAAUGUUCAAAAGGCUUAGGAAUGCCAUCCGCCCUAUUUCCUUUUCCUCGAUUUGGAUGUGGUCUGGUGGGAUUUCGGGUGACCCUCCGAAGGUCAUUUCCAUAUUACUUAUAUAUCAUAUAUACAUGUAUAGACAUAAAAGUACUUCCAUAUUCAUACUCAUCAGUACAUCAUUAGCUGGUUACCAUCGGGGUAACGCAGGAUCAAUACAUAUACAGAUAUACUAGAAACAAUACAUAUACAGAUAUACGAGAAACAAUACAUAUACAGAUAUACUAGAAACAAUACAUAUACAGAUAUACGAGAAACAAUACAUAUACAUAUAUACGAGAAACAAUACAUAUACAGAUAUACGAGAAACAAUACAUNUGUUUACACUUUAGCCCUUCAACUAUAGUUCUGAAUUUCCGGGAUGUUAAAAUUCUCCCCCACUUAAAUUGGGCUUCAUCCUCGAAGCCUGUUGCAGCACAUAAAUCUGAAUAAUACGCCCACAAUGCACCUCCUGGUAUCGAACGACCCAGGUUCCUCCGAACACUGCUAUUAAACCUCUAUAGAGUCCAACUCUUCCCUCACGGAGUUACGACAACUGAUUCAAGCCGGCCACCGACUUCUUUCUUUGAUAACAACCCUUUAUUAACCAAUGAUCACCUGAUGAUACUUUCCUUACUCCAAAUCACAAUAAUCACUCGACUCUUGUAAGGCUAGAUAUCUCCUUGAGUCACCGGGUCCUGACCCGGUACCAACUGCUAUCCCUUACCUCGCUUGGCAUAACUUUAUCGAAUUUCACCGCUGGGACUCCUCCCGCUUCCAUUUCGAAUCCAACUCUUUUCUUUCCGCGCUGACAGGAUGACACAUCCUUCAGCUCCUGAGCAACUCCCAUGAGCUCUCCUUAGCAAUCACAUACACAUGCUGAACUUGCGCCAAGAUCGUCGGGGUGGAAAACCCAAAACACUGACGAUACCUCCAGACAUCCUCGUGAUGAAUUACGACUACAUACAUCACCUUCUGAUCAUAAUCCAUACAGAAAAUCCAAGGCUCCCUCCUUGCAUCCCUUACGAACUCCUCUAGUUCUACACUACCGGAAAUCCUUCCGUAACCUCAACAGACACCCACCCCGGAUGUGUUUCCAUACCAUUGGUACAAUCUCAGUACUUACUACCAAUAGCUGAAGCACCGACAAUAAUCCACUUAUUCCACUUCCUCCUCUUUUGAAGUACUCACGCUCCUUCUGGAGCUACAUGCCUUUUCUUUUCAGGAAAUCCACUCAUCCACCCUUACCGCACCGUCACGUGCCACUACUACACUUCACUCUACAUUAUCCAUGUAGAGCAACCGCUAUCAUCGAAAUUCCAUAUACUCUGAAUCUGCUCGCAAGGACCCUCGGGUCCAUGCACUGCUUUCCACUAACACGAUCAGUACUUGGGGCCAGACCAUAUCAAUUAUCAUCCCCUGGUGACGCUUUUUCCUCAUUCUCCUCGUAUCGAUCCACUAACACAUACUGAGUCUUCAGCAUGACUGGACCGCCUUACUAGGCCUUCAGCCUAUCUGGACUACUCUCGGAACCUUCAGCAUGUCUGGACUGCCCCCAUGGGCCUUCAGCCUGUCUGGAACAUUCUUAGAACCUUCAGCAUGUCUGGACCGCCUCUCUGGGCCUUCAGUCUGUCUGGACCGUUCCCUGAGCCUUCCGUACGACUGGUACGCCUUCCAGCCUUCAGUCUGUCCAGAUCGCUCAAACUGUCUUACGUCACCCUAUACCAUUCUUUUCGGGAAUCUCUCCCUUACAUACUGUUCUAGCCCUCUUGGGGUUCCAAACUCUAUCUCCAUCCCACCUACUCAGAUCCCGACCUAACCCUAGGCCUAACCUUGGUCUGUAUCCUGCCCCACUUGUCUGCCACUUACUCAUACCAGCCCACGCUCUUGGCUGAGUGAAACACUGUUGAAACCCACACAGUUAGUUGACCUCUCAUGCUGUCGAUCCACCUGAGAAAUUUCCAAUUCUCCCUACUUAGAGCACUGACUACCAACCACCGGUGACCCAACCGACAUCACUUAAAACAAUCCUACUCAACAAAUUCUCUUAUACUUGAAUUGGUUCUGAAACGAGCAACCUCCAUAAAAUUACGUUCCAACAUCGCCCAUCAUGAACUCUAAGGGAGUUCGACUCCCCGCUGAACACUAAUCAAAACACAAUCGCUAUACAUGACAACAAGACCAUACAACCAAAUUCUGACCAACAAUCCAUUGGCUGCUAACUGACUACAGCUCCUAGUUACUAACAUUCCCAAUACAAAAACCCCCGAUCAUACAAAACCGACGAAGGAACGAACGAAUACAAUACCAUGAAUCAUGCAAACGAGACUAGCGGAUAUAUCAUAUUCUAUAAUAACCAUGAGGUAACAAGAUAUCAAGAAGGAAACACAACCGCGGCUGCAUCCGGCUCUGCCCUGUCCUCCUCUACAAUAAGCUGAAAAGAACGUCCCUGAGCCCUCGGGGGCUCCGCUCCACCCUAACCUCCACCCGUAAUCCUCAGAGUGGCCAAUGCUGGAGCCUGCACUGGUCUUGCAGUAAGCUGUGGACAGUUGGCCCUCAUGUACCCCACCUGAUGGCACUGAUAACAAAUCCUCAUAUCCUGAACCGGGGCUGACUGUCGACAAUCCCUCGCAUAAUGCCUCUCUUUCCUAUACUUGCGGCACGCACCAUUGGACCUACAAACUUCAGUGUGACCCUUCCCACACUUCCCACAAGUGUGGCUGCCCUUAUCUCCCAACCUAGAAUCAACAGUCUUGGACCGUUUCGACGCCGGUUGCGACUGCACCGGGGCCCGCCUCUACUCUCGCAACUGCAACUCAAUCUCUAACUCACGCCGCCUGGCGGCCUCCUACAACUCUAACAAGGUAUCACAUCUCUGCGUAGACAAAAACUGUCUAAUAUCCCUCUUGAGCAUACUCAGAUACCGGGUCAUCUGAGCCUGCUCCGAAGCAAAUUCAGGGAAAAACAUCGCCCUCUAUGUGAAAAUCUUGGUGAUUUCCGUCACCGACUCAAAACCCCGCUUCAGCUCCAAAAACUCCUGAGCCAAUCUCUCCUGCUCCACCCGCGGAAUACAACGAGUACUGAACAUGUCUCAGAACUGAUCCCAAGUAACCGCAGCCUGCUGCGCAUCAAAAUAAGAUCAUGUAGUCAACCUCCACCAAUCCUUCGCCCCGAGCCUUAACAAGUUCAGAGCACACCUCACCCUCUGAUCAACGGGGCAUGAACACGUGAAGAAACACCCCUCCACGUCUGACAACCAUCGCAUAGCAACAAUCGGAUCCUGAACUCCAUCAAAGGUAGGGGCUUCGUAUUAUCGAAGUCCCGAUACUGAAAACCUCUAUCGACUCCUCCUCCUGCCGCUGCUACAGCCACUGUAGCCGCCAUGGUAGCCGUCUCCGUAAGAGUUGCAUAGCGCUCAUCAAAGUACUCAACCAUAGCGGUCUUGAUCGACCCAAAUAGUUCCGGUAACUCGGCCCGGAACAUCGCAGCAACCUCAUCAUGUAGGAUCUCUCGAAUCCUGGUGUCCAACUCAUCCAUGCUCAUCUGACCGAUGACCUCGGGUGGCAUCGAUCCACCCUGACCGCCCUCUCCUGCUCCCGAUCCUGACCCGGAUCCACUCCCAGCAUGCCUCGUAACCACCAUAAUGAAAACACCGCAAAACAUCAGAUACUUCCCACUUACCUGGGAACCAACUCCCAACCCAACCCUAGGGGUUGUGACUUCCUUGAUAUGCGUAUGGGUCCUGUGCUUUCAGUAGUACGGGCCCAUACUACCUUCCACACCUACCCAUAGUUAUAUCAAGUAUCACCACAAACACCCUAAUCCAGAACAUACAUAACAAGCAAUCAACCCUCACCCCUAGAGGAACACUGAAAAUCUCAUACAGGAGGAAUCCUAGGCUAGCAGGCAUCAUAAAUCAGGCAACUCUAUCAUGCAAUUCCUGAACAUCCCUAGCCUAGUACUAGCAUGUUGUUCUAUCGUAUCUCAUAAACGGAUAACUUGUAUGGUAUUUUGGGGAUACUUAUUGGCUCCGGCUGAUCGUACCUUCACGUCCACCUUUAUUCAUUUUUGAAAACCAUUUUAAAUUCUUUUUUUAAAAAUCUCCUUGAUUUGAGACUAGAUUCACACAAAUGUUCCCCCAAUUCACUCAAACCAAGGCUCUGAUACAAACUUGUAACUUCCUAAAAACUCAAACCAAUUUAAACUUUUCAAAAACAACCCAUUUUCAUUAAUUCAUUACAAAAAGGUUUUCAAUUCGUUCAUUAUCAGAGUAUUUCCCAGAAUCACAUCAAAAGUACAUAAAACAUGAGGAGCGGUACGAUCACGCCUUCGCCUUGCCACGAUCUCCUGAAGUACCUGAAACAAUACACUGAAAACUCUAAGCCUGAAAGCUUAGUGAGUUACCCCUAAAAUACCAACCAUAAUACCAUACACAUAUCAUAUCAUAAACACAGAAUAGAACAGCCAUGCACUUCGGGUCUACUGUGUGACUGGUCCGCCGCACCAGGCCUACAGUCCACCUGGUCCACCCUCCGGGUCUAGCCAUAUACAUCGAGUCUCCAGUGUGAUUGGUCCGACCGCACCGGGCCUUUAAUCCACCUGGUCCACUCUUUGAGUCUAUAGUAUGACUGGUCAGCCCGCACCGGGCCUUCAGUCGGCCUAGUCCACUCUCCGAGCCUCGGUACGUCUGGUCCGCCCUUUUGGGCCUACAACCUAUCCAGACCGCUCGCUGGGCCUUCGGGAUAACCAGUCCGCCCUGGGUAUGUUGGCCUACAACACAAAGCAGGACCCGCCUCAACCCAACCCCAGUCCAACAACCAUGUGCACAUAAACAUAUAAUCAUAUAGCAAUUCACAAUUAAUCAAUCAAUCUAGCAGAUCACAUACAUAGCAGGGUACCGACCUAACCGGUCAAUAGCAUAGCAUCAUCCUAUAACCCAGGAUACCGACCCUAACCAGGUCUCUAACAUAUAACAUCCUAACUAACAGGAUGCAAACAUAGCAAGCAAUAACAUGAUAACACCUACCCGAAUUUCCAUCCGAUAAAAGGGUCGGCCUUGGUGCCGUAGACUCUGUCAGUAUAGUGAGGAUAACUCACCUCGCAAUUGUUGACUGAAGAGAUAAGAUCACGCUGCUCCAACCUCUCACACGAACACCACCACUAGACAACACCAAAUUACUGAACUCAGUAAAUAUACCCAAUUACCAAAAUACCCCUGGAAGUCAACUGGUCAACUCUUGGUCAAUGUCAAAGUCCUCAGUCCUAGUCAAACUUCCUGACUGACUCUACUCGCCGAGUCAACCCGCUGACUCGGCGAGUCCGUAUGCUCUGAGAACCCCCAUAUCGCGACUCAACUCGUCGAGUCAAUCCGAUGACUCGUCGAGUUCCUAUGCUCUGAAAACUCUCAUGUCUCGACUCAACUCGCUAAGUCGCCCCAAGACUCGUCGAGUUCAAGGAACUUCGAGUCCUUUCCUGUUCAACACACCGAGUCGUCCCUCGACUCACCGAUUCGCGACUUAACCAGAAAAGUUAGGGUCCCAUGACCAGACUCGCCGAGUCUAAGAACAGACUCGCCGAUUUCAAGGCAAUCUUCAACAGACUCUCUGAGUUGUUCUUUCUACUCGUCGAGUCCCUGCCUAUCUUCAUGCAACUCGCUGAGUACACCUAUGUGACUCGUUGAGUACCUCUAGUUCAUAAUCCAUACAGUGGCUUUCUAAGCCAUGCAGGGACUCAAAUCCAUAGAUCUACUCCUCUACAAACCACCCAUCACGUAAAGUGGCAGACUUUACGUGAAUCCAAAGAGAUCUAAGCAUAAAACACUCAAGGGCUAGUUUUUGGGAGAACAGGGCUUCACCAAGAACUCUUGGGCAUACACUUUAUGGCUUCCUGGACCAUUUCAAGUCCAGAUCUGAGGUAGCAAACUCUAAUCCAACCUUCAAACCCGAAAUGGAUUCUAACAAGCUAAAAACCCCAAAUUAACAACCCAACAAUAGAUCUUGAAGAGAAAUACUCAAGGUGAUGACUUGUUACCUCAGAAAUGUGCCCAAGAAGGAGUAGAUUUUGGAUCUACACAAGCCCCUUGAUGAUGGUCUCCAAACCACCAAGCUUCUUACACAAAACCUCUCUUCCAAGCUCUAACUCUUCAUCAAUGGAGUCAGACACACAAGUUGAGGAUUCUCUGGAUCUCAAAUGGCAGUAAAGAGGCUGAAGGUGGCUAUGAUGUGCUUUAUAUAUGGCACAAACCCCGGAUUAAGAUUUUUCUCCCUUCAGCACCAACUCGCCGAGUCCCAGAUAUUUACUCGCCGAGUUGGUCACUUAACGCAUGACCAAAAUCGCGACUCGACUCGCCGAGUCUAUCCAUUGACUCGCCGAGUCGACCUUCUUGUUUACACUUUAGCCCUUCAACUAUAGUUCUGAAUUUCCGGGAGGUUAAAAUUCUCCCCCACUUUAAUUGGGCUUCGUCCUCGAAGCCUGUUGCAGCACAUAAAUCUGAAUAAUACUCCCACAAUGCACCUCCUGGUAUCGAACGGCCCAGGUUCCUCCGAACACUACUAUUAAACCUCUAUAGAGUCCAACUCUUCCCUCACGGAGUUACGACAAUUGAUUCAAGCCGGCCACCGACUUCUUUCUCUAAUAACAACCCUUUAUUAACCAAUGAUCACCUGAUGAUACUUUCCUUACUCCAAAUCACAAUAAUCACUCGACUCUUGUAAGGCUAGAUAUCUCCUUGAGUCACCGGGUCCUGACCCGGUACCAACUGCUAUCCCUUACCUCGCUUGGCAUAACUUUAUCGAAUUUCACUGUUGGGACUCCUCCCGCUUCCAUUCCGAAUCAUCCUAAAAGAACCUAAAGAAAACAUUCCUUAUAAACUGGGAACUCUAAUAACCAUCUAAUAACCACACAAAUAAUGCAUUUUCUCAUUCCAUAUAAAAUGUAAAUAUGGAAUGGGAAAAAGGUUGCAGAAAAGGAAGGUAUUGCCCUAUUGCCACACAUUACCACAUAGUCAAUCACAAUACUUUUAGAAAAUGUUGCACUAACACCAACAUCUUGCUUAUACAAGAAAAAUGUUUCAGUUCUUCAACAAACUUCUUCUUGAGACCAAACUGAUCUACAGAAAAAUAAACUUCAAAUUUCUGAAAAAAUAAGUCCAUAACUAAUAGUAACAAAAGUCUAUAUUGAUUAGCCUCUCUCAAUCGAGAUGAACAAGAGAAAGAUGACACCAUUAGGUACGAACGUUCAAACUCAAUGCAAGUAUUUUAAAUUUUAAAUGCAUCAAAACAAUUGUAACGAUGCCAAACCUGUAGUGCUGAAUUAAUCAUCAUGUUAUAUCAUGCAUCUGAUGGAACUUGCGAACUAACACCGGUAGCUUCUGAAAGAAGGCUUUGUACAAAAUUAGAGAUAAAAUCUUAAAGAUGAAAAACUUCAAACCGACGUCAUACGACAAAAACAUCUUUCGACCAAAAAAUGCACUACGGGGGGUAUUAAAUUUUUAAAAUACAUUACGGUAUUAUAGUCAUGAAAAUACGUUACGAUAUUAAAUUUUUGAAAAACUAGAUCUUCAAAAAUUCUUCAACAAACGACUCGGGUUCCCAACACUCUUAAAGCCGAAAGCCUCUAAAAAUUAGCCAAAGAAAGAAUAAUAACCAAAAAAUACAAAACAGUUUAAAUCCACAAUGAGGACCGGUUGAUUGUGGAUAAUUCCAAACAUCUAUAUGCUCCAAAAGAAUAUAAAACAUCAUUAUAAUCAACUUGAAGAUAUAUCUUCAUAUGCCAAAAACAGAACUCCAAAAACAAAAUUUCAUAUAUGAUUUAGGUUUGAAACAAAUCAAUUAAUAAAGACAAAAAAUCAAUUUAUGAAAAUCAGGAGAACUCAACCUUAAGAGAGAAAAUUAAUUGUAAAAUAGCAUAAAAGUUACUACGUUUACGAUAUAUUACAAUUCUGAUUAUUUAACCGGUCAACCUGAUUGUCUGUUGAAAUAGCACCAUGACGUGACAUGCUAAUAUGUCAGCAUUGAAAAAUUUUCAAUGUUGGACCAUNNNNNNNNNNNNNNNNNNNNNNNNNNNNNNNNNNNUAUAUAUAUAUAUAUAUAUAUAUAUAUAUUAAAAAUAGCGUAGGCGUAGCUCACUUACAACGGGUUUUAUAGAACACUUAGCUUUUCUUGGAGCAGCGUUCCCGAGCCGAAAAACUCUUCUUCUCGGAGCUGUCGAGCACUCUAGGGCUUCCGCCUCGUGCUAGGGAGGUUCCCUAGGCUUUUCGGGGGUUUCGGGGCUAGAUAGAGGUUUUAGAGAGAGAGUAAAGAGAAGAAAGAAGGAGAAAGGUGUGAAGAAAAUGAGGGUGAGAGAGGUUGUAUUUAUAGGGUGAAAAUGGCUGAACUUGGUGCCACAUGCCACCAUCUAGUGACAAGACUUGGGGAGAAAGCAAUGGCCAAGAUUGUGUCACAUCACCCAUUUUCGCACAACACACUUCCGACUUCUAAAAUCCGUAAUGUUCACAUACGACCUCCGUUUUUGACGUUCUUUAUAUCAACGCGUAGGUAAAAAUAAGAUCUACAACUUUCAUUUUGACUCCGUCGGCUAAUUCUUGACCGAUCUUAAAUUUAACAGUACGAGGAGAUUAUACUGUUAAAUGUCCGCGUAAAAUUUAUAACUUCUACAUACAGACUCUGUUUUCGUCCGUCUUUUUAGCGUUGAGUUCCUAUUAAUGAGAUAUUCAAUUCUCCUUUAAUUCGCGUAGGCCAAAAACCACUCGAUCUAAAAUUCGAGUUUCGAGCUGUGCACUACUAAGCCAAAUCUUAGAAAAUUCAUAACUUCCUCAUACGAAGUCAGAUUUGGGCGUUCUUUUUAUGGACGCUCUCAGGUUAACAUAUUCUACGACUUUUGUUUAGAUCACCAAGGCCAAAGAGUUGUCUAUCGUAAAUUCACUAUUUACGUCGCGUCGUGUCGUGCCGGUUUUGCCGUAAAACUUCGACGGGCCAUAACUUCUUUGUUAUAACUCGGAUUUUGACGUUCUUUAUAUGUACGGAACCCUUGAGACAUAUUCUGCAUCUUGGUUAAGAUUAUUUAUUCGAAUUAAUCUUUUGUCGAAAAGUCAUUUUCGACCCCUAUUAUCUCUAAAUUGACUAGCCCGGAUCUACAGGCAUUACAAUUAUCUUCCCCUUAGGAUGAUUACGUCCUUGAAUCAACAACGAAACAGGGCUCACAUGAUGACUCCAUACGUUAUCUUUUCAUCAUAGGUAAUAACUAUAACUUCGAUGUUGCUUCGAACAAGUUUCUAACUCUUGGACUCCUUGACUGCAGGCAGUGCUUGAUCUUGCACUUGCUCCGUAUCUCACGUUAGACUCCAAAUUAUGACCUUCAAGUCACGGUAUCUGUCCUUAAUGGAGACUCCUUCUUCUUAACAAACUUAAGAUAAAUAUAUUUGAUUGCUACAAUAGGCCGAUAUGUCACGUUCUAAUGACCUCUCAUCGUAUGUUGCAACACUCAGACUCAGGUUUCUUAGAGUCAAAUUCCAGAAUAGACUAUACCUUCCUUCAUGUUCUAAUGUGAUACAGUCACAUUUCAACAUGUAGCAUUUCUAGCUACCAACUUCUUUAACAAUCAUCGCGAUACUUCUACUGAUCGCCUUGGUUAGCUUUCAUUUGAAUAUUGUGGGUUAAGUCAGAUGCUACAUCGAACUUGGUUCUCUGAACCACAUAUCAUACUCAUCGUAGUCGGACUCAAUUUGAUAUGACCACUAGGGUUGGAAUAACAACAAUCUUCUUAGUCAUUACCGAAACGAUGGUAAUGACAUGCUUGAAUAAAACGGAAUCAAUUAUUGGUUUCUUGCUAACCUUGUGACUUUCCCUGAUCCAAGCGUGAGUCAUGUGCUUCCGGUAGUAUAUGCAUCUACUACCUUUCACACCUACUCAUACUUGUCCCAAGUAUUGUCUCGCAGUCCCCAAGUCCUAAAAUCACAAAACAAUUUAACACAUAUGAGUGUAUCCAAAUAAUCAUACAAAUUUCCCUAGACUCUACUAGGACUUCUUCCAUGCGUAUCUUCAAUCAUCAAUUCUGCUUCAACUCGGUUGGUGAUGGAAACGUCAGACGAUGGGAAAACUACAUGGAUUAUACCAAUAAUCUUUCUUUCUGCUGAUCGAACAUGUACUUCUCUCGUACUAGACGUAUUAUUUAUUAGAUGCAUUCUAAAGGCAUGAUAUAACUCUUAUGAUAUCUCCCGAUAGGUAUCAUUCACUAUCAUAAGCCAUCUCAUUUCCUCUAUUUUCUCAGUCUAUCAUGGUUCGCAUCACUUUCUAAACUUCUGUCAUUGUGAUAGGUUCGGGUGCAGGCGCAAUGACCGAUGCAUGACCCAUCACAUUCUUAGGCUUAGGUUGUCAUCUUCCUCGGAUAUUUCCUAGUCUGUCUUCACCAUGACGUUUUGUACACCCAAGUCGACGUUCGGUGUACUGAGGCGAGAAUUUUAAGAUAGGAAAUAUUUUAUUUACGAUAGACGUAUAGAUCUCCUUGUCACACCGAAAAACUUAUAUGCCAGUUCUACUACCGUAAUCAAACGUUUAGAAAUUUGAACACAUAAAAUUUCCAGAUCCUGUCGGCAAUAGACCAUAGAUCUGAACAAAUAAUAGCAUAUAAGGUACGUUUAUAGCUAUAACAAAAAACAUUUAGCACAUAAAACAUUUUAUGCAUCUUUCCUAAAAUAAACUAGUGGUUGUGUAUAAAAUAUAGCAGACACUCAUCUCACAAUCAUCAUUUAGCAUUCUAAGUUUAAGUCUAGAAAUUUCCUACAAAUUCCUAGUUCGCUUAAACUAAUGCUCUGAUACCAACUGUGACAUCCCCAUUUUCACGGUCAGAAAAGACCGAUUUUGUUUAUGCUUUAUAAAAAUCAGAGUACUUCUUUUAAUAAAAAUGUUGCGGAAUUUGUUCCUAGAAAAACAUGAUAAAUACAUUAUCAAAGCAUUUCCGAAGAAAUGUAUUUUUAUUCAUUUAAAACAUUUGGGAUGUCAUUGUCAAUACAGAAACAUAAGCAUAAACAGAACUUACAUUCAUUUACACUAGUGAUCUACAUCUCUUUUAAAUCUCUAAGUGCAAAGUAGCUUCGUAUCGACACCUGUGACACAAAUAAGUUGGAGUGGGUCAGGUUGGGAAACCUGGUGAGUAUAUAGGGUUUUCAACCCACAAUAAUAUAAUUAUUAUCUUUAACAAUCAAACAAUCGACCCAAUUACCCAUCCCCAUUAUCUUCUUUACUCUUAAGGAUCUACCCUAAGAAUCAGCUAUUCCUCGUUCAUUCAUUCCUAAGGAUUCGGCAAGAAAUCCAUCGUUGCCACGGUUUACACAACGGGCACUAAGUCUACAUUGUCGCCAGGGUUUAGGCAUCAAAUCUGCAUGAUCACCAAGGUUUAGGCAUUAAGUCUGCAUGAUCACCAAGGUUUAGGCAUCAAGUCUGCAUGAUCACCAAGGUUUAGGCAUCAAGUCUGCAUGGUCACCAAGGUUUAGAGUACACCGGGUGAACACAUUGUUCACAACACCUACAGGUUGUGAGCCUGCUAGUGUUCCACUAGACUGUCUAGAAUACUCUUUGGUUGUCAUCCAUACUCUGCUGAAUGACAGGGCCAUCAUUUGGGAAAGGCUUCUCACAUUGUCCACCUCUCACCCUCACCUCGUGGUCUAUAACACCUCUCAACUCAUCAUCCAACUCAUAUUCCAUCUAUUACAUCUAUCCAUGUUUUUCCCCAACAUUAUCAUAGAUAUAAAAUACAUAUACAGUUUAAAUCAUUUAAAUCAUGUAUAAAAUCGUACAUCCAACAUAAACAACAAGUAUUCAGAUAAUAAGCACACAUAACACGUAAUUUAUAUAAAAUACUUCAUAUCUAUGUGUAAGCUGAAAGGGAGCAUGCACUCACUUGAAAAUGUGGUGAUUCCGAACUCAGACAGCGCUUCGCUUCUUAAAAAAAUAAUUUUCUUCGACGAAACCUAUUAUUAUUACCAUUAGAGUUUAGUAUAUUAUUCGCCGAANACUAAUUAAUAGUCUAGCUAUUAUUACUAUUAUAUAAGUGUUAAACAAUACUUAUAUAACCCAUAAUAAUAGCCCAAGUGCUUAUUAUAAGUUACUAAUAACGUUACUAUAAUUAAAUAAAAGCUAUAUUAAAAAUAGCGUAGGUGUAGCUCACCUACAUCGAGUUUUAUAGAACACUGGGCUUUGCUUGGAGCAACGUUCCCGACCCGAAAAGCUCUUCUUCUCGGAGCCGUUGACCACUCUGGGGCUUCCGCCCCGUGCUUGGGAGGUUCCCUAGGCUUUUCGGGGGGUUUCGGGGCUAGAGAUAGGUUCUAGAGAGAGAGAGAGAGAGUAAAGAGAAGAAAAAAUGGGAAAGGUGUGAAGAAAAUGAGGGUGGGAGAGGUUAUAUUAAUAGGGUGAAAAAUGGCUGAAAUUAGUGUUACAUGUCACCAUCUAGUGGCAAGACUUAAGGAGAAAGCAAUGGCCAAGAUUGUGCCACAUCACCCAUUUUCGCACAACAUACUUCCGAAUUCUAAAAUCUGUAAUUUUCACAUACGACCUCCGUUUCUGACGUUCUUUAUAUCCACGCGUAGAUAAAAAAUAAGAUCUACAACUUUCAUUUUGACUCCGUCGGCUAAUUCUCGACCGAUCUUAAAUUUAACAGUACGAGGAGAUUAUACUGUUAAAUGUCCGCGUAAAAUUCAUAUCUUCUACAUACGGAAUCUGUUUCCGUCCGUCUUUUUACUGUUAAGUUCCUAUUAAUGAGAUCUUCAAUUCUCAUUUAGGUCGCAUAGGCCAAAAACCACUCGAUCUAAAAUUCAAGUUUCGAGCUGUGCACUUCUUAGCCAAAUCUUAGAAAAUUCAUAACUUCCUCAUACGAAGUUAGAUUUGGGCGUUCUUUUUAUGGAUGCUCUCAGGUUAACACAUUAUACGACUUUUGUUUAGAUCACCAAGGCCAAAAUGUCUUCUAUCGUAAAUUCACUAUUUGCGUCGCGUCGUGUCGUGCCGGUUUUGCCGUAAAACUUCGAUGUGCCUUAGCUUCUUCGUUAUAACUCGGAUUUUGACGUUCUUUAUAUGUACGGAAACCUUGAGACAUAUUCUUCAUCUUGGUUAAGAUUAUUUAUUGUAAAUAAUCUUUUGUCGAAAAGUCGUUUUCGACCCCUAUUAUCUCUAAAUUGACUAGCCCGGAUCUACAGGCGUUGCAUCAUACUUCACUUCCUCCACUUCCUCCAAUUAUUCUCCCUAACCCACAAUUUCAAGGUCACUUAAGCCCUAUUGGCAAGCAAGGUCUAUGUGUGUGUAACACCCCGAAGUUCGUACCAUCAUUUGUAAUCCUUUUCGUAACCCUUUUCGUUAAUCCAUUCGUCGUUUUCAAUUUUGUUUCCGUUUACGGAAUUAAAUUAAGUCAUUUAUUUGAGAUUAUUAUUAUGAAUUAAUGGGUGUACCAACGCAUUUAGAACUCAUAUUAACACCCCAUUCUAGUAAUCGGAAUAUUUUUAGAAUCGACCAUAUCGGGUUACGGCAACUUGAUCGGGUGCGACCAAAAGCCACGUCUAACGUCGGUAUCGGGUAGAAUUCCAUCGUGUCCAAAUCUUGAACACUAUUUAAAGUGGUUUAAGCUUCCAUUUGAAGCUUUUUCUCUCUCUCUCUCUCUCACUACUCUCUCUCUAACCUCUCUCCUCAAACCUAAUAACUAGGUCCAAAAACUUCAAUUUAAGGCUCAAAUUCAUCAAGGUAACCUCCCUAACUUGUUAUUCAACCUCUUCAGCUCCCAAAUCCGAGUUUAAUCAAUGAUUUAGGACCAUAUUGAUGAGUUUACGGCCCUGGAGCAUGCUUGGACCGUAAACACAUAAUAAGUGGGUUUUUGAGCCUUAGAACCCCUCCAAACCAAUCUUGGGACUUAGAUAUGACUUUAUGGCUUACCAAUUCGGACUUAGAACACCUUAAACACCAUUUUUGAGGAGUAAACAUGGGUUUGCUGCCCAAGAACAUGCUUGGGCCGUAACUCAUCUUCAUGGAGAGUAAACUCAAAACCAAGUGUUUAAAAGCCAUUUAAACACACCAAUAGCCUUGGAAUAAAUUCUAGAACCAACCACAAUCAUUUUGGGGACCUUAAACACAAUGAAAAUUACUCCUUUGAGUGUUCAUGGCCGUAAACCCCCCAAGAAUGGGUUCCUGGGCCGUGAACUCACAUACAUAAGUCAAAUGGUGCCCAAAAUUCAUUCUAAGACUUGAAAAUUUUGUUUGAAUCACAUGUUUUGGUCUAAGGCAAUUAAAUCAUCAAUUUAAGAAAGGUAUAGGAGCUUACGGCCGUAAACUCCCUUUGAUGGUUCCUUUGGUGGUUUAAUUCAUUCCCAUGCCUUAGAUAAAAUCGUACCAACAUUAUCCAAGUGAUAUUUGACCAUUUAGCACCAUAAAACUUAUCAACCAUGAGUUCACGGCCGUGAACUCAUGUGGUUACAGUCUUAGGGCCGUAAACUCCCUAAGGUGUUUACUCUUGAAGAGUAAACUCCAUUCCUAAGCCAUACAUGUCCGUAGAUGUCACCUGGGUCACUCCAAACACUUGAUUUGAAGUAUUUUCGCUCAUUGGAGUGUAUUAUCAUGUCUAAUUAGUGGUUUAAAGUCUAAUUAGAUACAUUUGUAUACCAUUUCAUAUUACAUAGGAACCUCGCACGUUAUCAAUCCCCGAAUCGACACUUAGCAUUCAACCGUCGCGUUUUCUCGUCUGGUGAGUUCAUACGCCUACCCUUUUUCAAUGUUUUUCACUAUUUUCAGGGGGGAUACAAGCAAAGUACAAGGGAUACUUGUACUCAAAAAUUGUUUUACAUGUGUUGUGUUUCAUAUUACAUAUGCUUUUAACACUAAUAAUCGUAACAGAUAACCGUUUGAACUUGCAGAACACUUAUUCAGUUUAUUUGUGAAAUACGUUAUAAAAUGUAGUAUUUUAUAUUUUCACAAAUGGUUUUCCACAUUAUAUCAGUUAAAAGCAUGACAUUUGAACUUUGAACAUGGAACUUAGUACAUUGUUUUGUCCUCGGUAACACUCCAUAGAGAUACGCGAGUGGAGGAUUAUUGUUCAUAAUAGGAACUUUCUGUAUUAUUACUAGUAAAUUUGUUAUACCUAUAAAUUGGAGACACGUCCUCGGUGAACACUCCACAGAGAUACGCGAGUGGAGGACCGCAACCGUAACUAGAAUCUCUUAGAUAGGGAGCAUGACUUGAGUGUAUAGAUCUAUACGGGGUUGACUACCCCACACCUGGCUGCUAGCUACAGCCGAAUCGAAAGGUUCAAGGGUGACGAAAGUCAUAAGGUGAUGUGGACUACUUAUUGCCAUAUCUAGUCUAUCGUAUGGUUAUGGAACUUGCAAUUAGGAUAACAAAGAUUUACUAAAUAGUAAUAAUGAAUAAAGUAAUUAAAUUACUUUGUACAUAUUAGUUUUAUAUAUGUGUUAAAACUAAUACAUUUCACAAAGACAACCAGGUUUUCAGUAUACAUCUUUCACAUUGGUAACCAACAUUCAGGAAAAUAUGGGAUUUUCCUGGGGUAACAUUUGUACAUAACCAGAAACGUGUAACAAACCAGAUAACUAAACUUUAUAAUUCAUAAGGGUAAACAUGUUUUUCAGUGUACAUCUUUUACAUUACAUUUUGGGAUUCAAUAACCAAAUUUUAUGAAAAUAUGGGAUUUUCUUGGUUUGUAUCAUUUUCAGAAACAGAAAGGAACUUGUACAUUUUCAGAAAACAAAACCGCUUAUGAACUCACCUGCGUUAUGCUGAUUUUCAAACUGCUUGUAUUCUCAAGUCCGCAUUAGACAGGUACCCGAUGAUUCCUUUUGGUGAAGACGGAGUGCGUAGAAGACUCGUCUCACUUUUGUUCAUAUAUAUUAUGUAUCACACUUGUACAACUUUACUUUCAAACAAAUGUAAACUUUUAUAUGUAAUGUAAUGGUUGUUUACUUUGCUUACUAUGUUCAUUGGAUUUGAUACUCAACGUGGAGUCAACCCCGUAAAUGUUUCCACCUUCGGUUUUUGGAGUGUGACAGUAUGAUCACAUUUUGGAGAUGAAGUCAUAUAUUGACAGACUGGGAGAGUUGGGUGUCAAUGUCUUGAGAAAGUUGGUUGAACAAUCACUUUCUAAGCCACAUAGUGUGUUCCUUUGGGACUACUAUGAAACAAACUAUGACAUGACCCUUAAUGAUCUUAUCUAUUUGCUUGGUGCUGCUGAAUCAACAAUGAUUUGGAGGACUAGUAAUGCAAAUUUUAUUAGAAGAUCAACUUCCCAAACUUCCAUGGACAUUGACAAUGGUAACAUUGAAAAUCUGGAAAAGCUUUCUCUUCCCAAUGGAAAGGGAUCGGCCAUGCUCAACUUGGUUGACCAAAUGGUAAAGAGAAAGGCUAAGUCUUAGAUAGUCCCAUGUACCAUUUCAAAGAGUCAAUAUGUUCUAUUUCUGUGACAACCCGAAAUUUCCAAUUGUAUGAACAUCAUCUAUUCAAUAGAAGCUAGUUCAGUUUCUGUGAUUUUCAAGCUUUUCCAAACAAGUUUGUGUACAUUAGGGUUUAUGUUUUAGAUGAUAUCAGGAGAGUGGAUACUCCUGGUUUUGUGAAACUUGGGCAUUUCAAGUUUCAUAAUGUUACAGUCCAACAUCAGGAAUGAAAAUAUUUUCUGCCAAAAUAUUCCAGGACUAUAAAUAGUUUUCUGAAUUAAAUUAAUCCAUUAUUCACAAUUCCAAAUUGAGAAAAGCCAUAUUCUCUCUGACGGAUCUUCGGGUUUUCAUCCCAGAUUGUGAGUCUACUUUUCUAUAUGUGUUUCAAUACUUGUUUAAUGCAUAUUAGCAACAAUAACAUGUCUAGAUGUCAAGAUCCGGGAGUUUACCGCCCAAGAACGUUCUUGGGGAGUAAACUCCAAAAUGGAGCUCUAAUGCUUUCUAGACCCAUUCCUAUGUUAGAGGACUUGUUUAGGAGUUAGAGUAUGAUCUUUAAAGGCCAAAAAGCAUCCAAGAAACAUAAGUCUUUGGAGUUUACGGCCAAGGAACUCCCUUGGGCCGUAAACCCCUUUUUAAGGGCAAUUAGUGCCCUAAACUCCCCCUAAUGCUUAAAGACCUUUACCCUAAAUUGCUUGUGCUUAUUUUAGGCAUCAAAAGACAUCAAAUGCAUAAGUUUCUAGGAGUUUACGGCCAAGGAACUCCCUUGGGCCGUAAACCCCUUUUCAAGAGCUUAAAUGCCCUAAAACUUUCCCCAAAUGCUUAAGGACCUUAACCACUAGUGCUUGUGCUUGUUUAGAACACCAAAAGCCCAUAAAAACCAUAAGUUUUUAGGAGUUUACGGCCAAGGAACUCCCUUGGGCCGUAAACCCCUUUUUGUGGGACAAAAAUCAUUCCAAGCUAUCCUUAAGCCUCUAGACAAUUUACCUUGCACCUUUGGGACUAGAAUGGAGAGAAGAACACAUAGAAACAACUCCUUGGAAGGAGUUUACGGCCAAGGAACAUGACUUGGGCCGUAAACUCCAAGUGAAGGCACCAAAGUGUGCCUCUUGUCCCCAUUAGCCUUAGAUAAAAUCAUGGAUGCCAUUCUUGAUGUUUAAGUGCCUCAAAUCAAUUAAUUUCCUAGAGUUUACGGCCGUAAACUCUAAGGUGAAGGACCUUAGGCCGUAAACUCCCUUAUGGAGUGUUCUAGAGCCUUAAAACUACUUCAUGCAUUAUUCCAAUAAAGAUAGGAGUGUUCUAGAUGCAAGAUAACACCACAAAACACCCAAAAACACCAUUUGAGGAGUUCACGGCCAUAAACCUAUGAGUUUACGGCCGUAAACUCCAAGGUGUGGGGUUUGUUGGAUGGUGAACUCCUAUACAAGGCUAUUUGAUGUUUCAAACCCUUUUGCCUUGUCCCGUAGCAACUUAGAUGCAACCAUUUGGACCCUAAACACUCAUAAAAGUGUUUAAAUGUUUUCUAAGUGUCUUAACUUAUUUAAUUAAGUUUUUAUGUGUCUAAUUAGUUAUAUAUAUGUUUAUUAUAUGAUAACUAGGCUCGUGCGUGUAAACCAGUCUCCGUUUGUCACCUAGCACGGUAGCCGAAACUGCAAUUCAAACGACUCACCACAAGUGAGUUCAUACCCCUUGAAUCAACCUUUGAAAUGAUUUUAAGUGUUUUAAAUACUUUAUGGGGGGGAUUACAAGUCAAAUACUUAUAAUUUAUUGCUUCAAUCACAUGUGAUUGCAUUUAAUCACAUGUGAUUAAUAACUAGGAAAACAACGAUUUUUACCACUGUUCAAACUGUUUAUCAAACUGCUUUACUUUGAAAUGUUUUACAAACUGUUUUACUAUCCAAACUUACUUAUAGACUGUGAUUUAAACAAAUGCUUCUUAUACUUAAACUGUUUUAUUAACUUAUGCCUUCAAAUUGUUUUAUAGAUCGACAUCAAGUCGAUCUCCUCUUGAAAUCAUAUUUAUGCUUCAAAUGUUUUAUGAAAACUUAUUUAUGCUUUAUAUAUAUUCAAUUGCAUGCCCAUAUAUGUAUAGAUGUAUAAAUAAUGUUUAAAGGACUUAGGAAGGCCAUCCGCCCUAUUUCCUUUUCGCGCCUUGAGAUGUGGUCUGGUGGGAUUUCGGGUGACCAUCCGAAGGUCGUUUCAAUAUUACUUAUAUAUCAUAUAUACAUAUAUAGACAUAAAAGUACUUCCAUAUUCAUACUCAUCAGUACAUCAUUAGCUGGUUACCAUCGGGGUAACGCAGGAUCAUACAUAUACAGAUAUACUAGAAACAAUACAUAUACAGAUAUACUAGAAACAAUACAUAUACAGAUAUACUAGAAACAAUACAUAUACAGAUAUACUAGAAACAAUACAUAUACAGAUAUACUAGAAACAAUACAUAUACAGAUAUACUAGAAACAAUACAUAUACAGAUAUACUAGAAACAAUACAUAUACAGAUAUACUAGAAACAAUACAUAUACAGAUAUACUAGAAACAAUACAUAUACAGAUAUACGAGAAACAAUACAUAUACAGAUAUACGAGAAACAAUACAUAUACAGAUAUACGAGAAACAAUACAUAUACAUAAAUACGUAAUAAUUGUGAUCCACUGUAUCGGGCAUGCCUUAAAUGUCAUGGCCCGAGUUGUAGCCAGAAUUCUCUUGGAGGGAGAGCGUGAGUUUGCGUAUAGAUCUAUACUGGAUUGACUAUCCUACACCUUGCUGCUAGCUACAGCCGGACCUGCAGGUCUGCGGGUGCCAAACGUCAUUUCUUAUUACGACCGUUCAUUAUGUCGUUGAUUAUCAGUCGAUAGCAUGGUGCAAUUAAUCACAAUAUACCUUAAUAUAAAUCCGGUUUAAGGUAGCAGUAUUUAGUACAGUAGUAGUCUUAAUAUACAAAGCUACAGUACUACAAUGAUUCACCCAUUACAUAUUUUAGUGAUAACCUCACUUAAGCAUUAAUGUACAAACUAUAUUUUUAACAAAUGAUAGUUAUAUUUGGGUAAUCACACACUUUUACAACAGAAAAGUUUACAAAACAGCCUAGCCUUGGUAGAAGGUUACUUUUAUAGAAAAUAUAGGAUUUUCUGAGGGUUUCAAACUUUUACAAACACUUUCAAACAUUUACUUACAUUUUUACAACUUAUACAUUGAGACAGGUUCAAACGUUUUUACAAGAAACAUUGACACUAAAAUACUUAUGAACUCACCAGCUUAAUGCUGAUAAACUCUUUCAAAAUAACUUGUAUUCUCAGGUCAUCAGUAGACAGGUACCGAGGCCAGCUUUUGAGAAGAUGGAGUGCAUUCAAGACUCAUCUCAUAUUAUUUUGUGUUUCAUUAUUUUUGGUGUCUAUAACUGUACAGAACACACUUGUAUUAAAAUUAUAUAUUUAAUGCAAUGGAUGAUGUUGUUUGCUUAUUUACAUUUACUGUGUUGUGAUACUAUACAUGACGUCCUCCGCCCCAGAACGUUUCCGCCGUUCUUGGUUUUGGGGUGUGACAAUUUCCAAAGGAAGGGACAUUGGUUAUGAAGCUACCCUAUUUGCCUGAAGGAUCAUAAGGUUGGUAAAGUCAAAGAGUUUGACUCUACUUUGGGUAAAGUGCACUAUCUAACUCUGUUAAGUUCCUAUUCCGAGAUUCUUGUUACAUGAUGGGACUAGGUCGCAUGUUGAUGUUUUAUGAAUCAAAGAAAAGAGAGGAAGCUUAAAGGAAGUAUAUGCUGAUUCUGAUCGCGAAGAUGGAUUUCGAUCGCAUGGUUCAGUGAUCAGAAUUUUUGAGCUAUUACUUAAGAGUUAUGAUAUUUUGCUUAGGAAUAAAUAACAACAAGUUUUCAUAUGCAUUUGCAUUGUAAGGAUAAGUUUUUCCGCAAAGUUUUAAAAUAAAAGAAAAGGUUUUAAUUUUAUUUUUUUUAAAUAUCCUUACAAGUGGCAUUUGUGAAAAAUGGUUGUUUAUAUGGUUCCAUUGAUAGCAAUAAUGGAAAUGUGAAUUUGAUUCUUUCAUUUGUGGUAGUGUCUAAAUUUACCAAAUAAGGAAAGAUUCUCAUCACCCAAGUUUCAAUUGGACCGAAACAUGGAAUCCUACAAGUUGUAUAGUAUGAUGAAUGAGAAUUUUCAUCUUUGGAAAAUUAAGACUAAUUCCUUUUUUACAUGUAUCUGUGAGUCAGGUGAAGGACUAAGGGAUCGAGUACACAUUCUUGUGCACUGGUCAUGUCUACCACAAAAGAUCGAUAAGACUAUUCGUCAUGAUUUACUAAAGUUUAGUAAAUAUGGUUAUACUUACAAGUUUAAGUAUAAUUUUGAAACAUUGUAAAAGUUUCAAUGUAUGGCAGAACGAAUGAGAAGAAUCAAAUUAGGUAGAAAGAUAAAAGUUUCUCAAAUCUGAAAAG
rnacentral:lncRNA from 1 species